GACGAACGCUGGCGGCGUGCUUAACACAUGCAAGUCGAACGGAAAGGCCCUGCUUUUGUGGGGUGCUCGAGUGGCGAACGGGUGAGUAACACGUGAGUAACCUGCCCUUGACUUUGGGAUAACUUCAGGAAACUGGGGCUAAUACCGGAUAGGAGCUCCUGCUGCAUGGUGGGGGUUGGAAAGUUUCGGCGGUUGGGGAUGGACUCGCGGCUUAUCAGCUUGUUGGUGGGGUAGUGGCUUACCAAGGCUUUGACGGGUAGCCGGCCUGAGAGGGUGACCGGCCACAUUGGGAAUGAGAUACGGCCCAGACUCCUACGGGAGGCAGCAGUGGGGAAUAUUGCACAAUGGGCGCAAGACUGAUGCAGCAACGCCGCGUGCGGGAUGACGGCCUUCGGGUUGUAAACCGCUUUCGCCUGUGACGAAGCGUGAGUGACGGUAAUGGGUAAAGAAGCACCGGCUAACUACGUG
rnacentral:rRNA from 1 species